UUUUAGGGAACAGCGAGUAAAGUUCCCUAAGAAAAGGAGGAUCCUCCGACCAGGCGAGGUGAUCAUGCCUGGCGGGCUUUCUGCCCAACUGUUGUACGUUGGGAUUUUCUAUCCGUGUUAAUUCGCAUGCAAACUUCAUAUGUGCGAUGCAGGAUAUUUGUGACGUCAUCCAUUGAUUUGCUCGUCGAUAGUCUAUGUGCGACUUCUGUCAUCUGUCACUUGUCAAUGUGUCGCCACAGGUUUUCAGAAAAUAUGACAUGACAUUUAUAACGAUGACAGAUGUCAAAAGUACCUAGAUCGCGCAAGCAAAGUUUUCAUUACACGAUACACUCAUUGCUAUAUUCAAGUCUUAUUAUAAAGUCAACUUCACUAUUGGCGCGCACGAUUGACUUCCGCGUAAAGUGUCAUGGGUUCGAUUCCCGCAUGGAACAAUUAUUUAUGUGAUUCAUGAUAGACAUUUUAAUAUUUUCUUAAUGAUUUGGGGAGUUAAGAAAGAAAUUUGUCCAUAAGCUUAGACAAAUUUCUGAUACGCCUCCCCUAAAUUGAUAUUUGCGAUGAACAACUUUGUCGAAUUAAGUUUAUUGACAGAGCUACAUGUUGCAAUACAUUUAAA